AUCUUACUGCGCAUGUGCAGAGAUGACUCAGUAGUACAGCUCCAAAACAAACCGAACGGCGCCGAGUACAAGAAACGACGGUGAGGUGAAGUUAUUCCAGCGGGGCCGAAGGACGGAGCAAGCGGGAGGAAAAUGAGAAAGGUUGUGGCAAGACUACUAAACGUGACGAUCUUUUUAAAGGCGGCCAUUACUGAUGACAACACGACGAACCAGCAGUUACACGGAGGCGCUCCUUCCGUUAGCACUAGCCAUGCUAACAGCCAGGAGCUGCCCGGGUGACGGCAGCGGGGGAGGAGGAUGCUUCAGACGGAGGUGAUCCAGAAAGAGCCGCGCCACCUCUCCAGCACCCAGAACAACCUCGGGAGCCGUCGAGCUUCAGACGAGCUUCCUUCCCAAAGGUGGCCGAGGUCAAGUCCUGGACUUCCCAGCUACCGCUCCGAAGGAUGCUGACUGUCAGGCCUGUAGCCCACAGGAGGAUACAGGUGUCUUCACCCUCCUGCAGGAAGAAGGACGAGAGAUGAGAGAUCAAGAAAACAAGACUGAAAGAAUAAAGCUGUUGUUGCAUAUUUUUCUUAUUGUUACCAAAUUCCAUAAUAACACCAAAAACCUGUGAAAUGCCAGGGGCGACAUGCUGACCUCCCCCAGUCGGUACCAUCACAACAAUGGUUGGUGAUUCUACAAGAUUAAGAUUAAAUAUUGGAUUAUUUUUUGUUUGAUACUUUAACGCUGGACCAAAAAAAGUUAAAUCAUUGCUGAUGGAAGCUGAACACCAUGUCAUCACGUGUCAGUCGGUCUCUUUAGUUUUACUUCAGCAACGUCUUCUCAACACUGCAAAUAAAAGUGUUCGAUAAAAUACA